GACGAACGCUGGCGGCGUGCUUAACACAUGCAAGUCGAACGGAAAGGCCCUGCUUUUGUGGGGUGCUCGAGUGGCGAACGGGUGAGUAACACGUGAGUAACCUGCCCUUGACUUUGGGAUAACUUCAGGAAACUGGGGCUAAUACCGGAUAGGAGCUCCUGCUGCAUGGUGGGGGUUGGAAAGUUUCGGCGGUUGGGGAUGGACGCGCGGCUUAUCAGCUUGUUGGUGGGGGAGGGGCUUACCAAGGCUUUGACGGGUAGCCGGCCUGAGAGGGUGACCGGCCACAUUGGGACUGAGAUACGGCCCAGACUCCUACGUGGGGCAGCAGUGGGGAAUAUUGCACAAUGGGCGGAAGCCUGAUGCAGCAACGCCGCGUGCGGGAUGACGGCCUUCGGGUUGUAAACCGCUUUCGCCUGUGACGAAGCGUGAGUGACGGUAAUGGGUAAAGAAGCACCGGCUAACUACGUG
rnacentral:rRNA from 1 species